rnacentral:rRNA from 1 species
CCUACGGGAGGCCGCAGUGAGGAAUAUUGGUCAAUGGUCGGGAGACUGAACCAGCCAAGCCGCGUGAGGGAUGAAGGUACAGAGUAUCGUAACCCUCUUUUGUCAGGGCACAAAGGCGGGGACGUGUCCCCGGAUGAGUGUACCUGAAGAAAAAGCAUCGGCUAACUCCGUGCCAGCCGCCGCGGUCAUACGGAGAAUGCGAGGGUUAUCCGGUUUUAUGGGGUUUCAGGGGUGCGCAGGCGUUCUGUUAAGUCAGCGGUAAAAGCCCGGUGCUCAAACCCAGCCCGCCGGUGAAACUGGCAGUCUCGAGUUGGAGAGAAGUAUGCGGAAUGCGCGGUGUAGCGGGGAAAUGCAUAGAUAUCGCGCAGAACUCCGAUUGCGAAGGCAGCAUGCCGGCUCCACACUGACGCGGAGGCACGAAAGCGUGGGUAUCGAACAGGAUUAGAUACCCCAGUAGUC